GAAUUCGCCCUUAGAGUUUGAUCCUGGCUCAGGAUGAACGCUGGCGGCGUGCCUAACACAUGCAAGUCGAACGAAGCACUGAAAACGGAGAUUCGUCGAAGUUUUCUUUGACUUAGUGGCGGACGGGUGAGUAAUGCGUGAGCAACCUGCCUUUCAGAGGGGGACAACAGUUGGAAACGACUGCUAAUACCGCAUAACAUAUUCGGAUCGCAUGGUCUGAAUAUCAAAGAUUUAUCGCUGAAAGAUGGGCUCACGUCUGAUUAGCUAGUUGGUGAGGUAACGGCUCACCAAGGCUGCGAUCAGUAGCCGGACUGAGAGGUUGAACGGCCACAUUGGGACUGAGAUACGGCCCAGACUCCUACGGGAGGCAGCAGUGGGGAAUAUUGGGCAAUGGGCGAAAGCCUGACCCAGCAACGCCGCGUGAAGGAAGAAGGCCUUCGGGUUGUAAACUUCUUUUAUCAGGGACGAAGGAAGUGACGGUACCUGAUGAAUAAGCCACGGCUAACUACGUGCCAGCAGCCGCGGUAAUACGUAGGUGGCAAGCGUUAUCCGGAUUUACUGGGUGUAAAGGGCGCGUAGGCGGGGAUGCAAGUCAGAUGUGAAAUCUAUGGGCUCAACCCAUAAACUGCAUUUGAAACUGUAUCUCUUGAGUGUCGGAGAGGUAGAUGGAAUUCCUAGUGUAGCGGUGAAAUGCGUAGAUAUUAGGAGGAACACCAGUGGCGAAGGCGAUCUACUGGACGAUAACUGACGCUGAGGCGCGAAAGCGUGGGGAGCAAACAGGAUUAGAUACCCUGGUAGUCCACGCCGUAA
rnacentral:rRNA from 1 species